GCCUACACAUGCAAGUCGAGCGGUAGAGAGAAGCUUGCUUCUCUUGAGAGCGGCGGACGGGUGAGUAAUACCUAGGAAUCUGCCUGAUAGUGGGGGAUAACGUUCGGAAACGGACGCUAAUACCGCAUACGUCCUACGGGAGAAAGCAGGGGACCUUCGGGCCUUGCGCUAUCAGAUGAGCCUAGGUCGGAUUAGCUAGUUGGUGAGGUAAUGGCUCACCAAGGCUACGAUCCGUAACUGGUCUGAGAGGAUGAUCAGUCACACUGGAACUGAGACACGGUCCAGACUCCUACGGGAGGCAGCAGUGGGGAAUAUUGGACAAUGGGCGAAAGCCUGAUCCAGCCAUGCCGCGUGUGUGAAGAAGGUCUUCGGAUUGUAAAGCACUUUAAGUUGGGAGGAAGGGCAGUUACCUAAUACGUGAUUGUCUUGACGUUACCGACAGAAUAAGCACCGGCUAACUCUGUGCCAGCAGCCGCGGUAAUACAGAGGGUGCAAGCGUUAAUCGGAAUUACUGGGCGUAAAGCGCGCGUAGGUGGUUUGUUAAGUUGAAUGUGAAAUCCCCGGGCUCAACCUGGGAACUGCAUCCAAAACUGGCAAGCUAGAGUAUGGUAGAGGGUAGUGGAAUUUCCUGUGUAGCGGUGAAAUGCGUAGAUAUAGGAAGGAACACCAGUGGCGAAGGCGACUACCUGGACUGAUACUGACACUGAGGUGCGAAAGC
rnacentral:rRNA from 1 species